rnacentral:rRNA from 1 species
GGAGUUAGCCGGUGCUUCUUCUGUGAGUGAUGUCCUUCCUGCCGGUUAUUGACCCGCAGGCCUUCUUCCUCACUGAAAGUGCUUUACAACCCGAAGGCCUUCUUCACACACGCGGCAUGGCUGGAUCAGGGUUGCCCCCAUUGUCCAAUAUUCCCCACUGCUGCCUCCCGUAGGAGUCUGGGCCGUGUCUCAGUCCCAGUGUGGCUGAUCAUCCUCUCAGACCAGCUACGGAUCGUCGCCUUGGUGAGCCGUUACCUCACCAACCAGCUAAUCCGACAUAGGCUCAUCCGAUAGCGCGAGGCCCGAAGGUCCCCCGCUUUCCCCCGUAGGGCGUAUGCGGUAUUAUCCUGGGUUUCCCCAGGUUAUCCCCCACUACCGGGCAGAUUCCUAUGCAUUACUCACCCGUCCGCCGCUCGCCACCAGGGAGCAAGCUCCCCGUGCUGCCGCUCGACUUGCAUGUGUUAGGCCUGCCGCCAGCGUUCAAUCUGAGCCAUAAUCAAACUCUGA